rnacentral:hammerhead_ribozyme from 1 species
GCACUGAUGAAGAGUCCUAAAACUAGGACGAAACAGCUUUCCAGUAC